AGUUGUGGCACCGUUGAGCUGUAGUGAGGUGACGUUGGGGCUUUGUUUGUUAUCUCGCGUAGUUUUAUUAGUGUUCAAAUUACUAUGUUUCUCGGCAUCUUGAAUCGUUUACUUCAGCAACGAUGGAGUGUCCAUAUAGUUUGGAUGGUCGACGGGUCUCGUUAGCGGAUUUUUGGUGAGGUGAAGGUCAGAAUGAGCCUACAGCAACCAGACGAGUUGAAGCCUACAACCCCACGAGGUGAAUGGUAACUAUACUUUUGUAAAUGAUUGAUGAGUAUCUGGUGGAGUCGAUAAAUGGAUAGACGCUUAAUCACAUUCCACAAAAGCCGAAAUCUUUUGACCUCACAUCAACGGCUCUUGUUUGUCGGUUACGUGCUGUAAUAAGGACGUCUGGAGUUCCAAGUAUACAGCACACGCCGUAGAUUUGUGGAGGAUUUCAUCGGUAAUAACUUUCGAUUUCAAGAGAAUUAAUUGGCUUUUAUAAUUUCAUUUUCUUUAAACCAUG